rnacentral:lncRNA from 1 species
GACUGCCCCAUUCAGUUCACUGAACGGUGAAGGGACAAUGCUUAGUUGGCCUUUACCCAUUAGUUGUUUUCAAUGUGAUGUCACGUACUGAUGAGAAAGAUAUGAACAACUGCAAGGUGUGCGAACAUAACUUUUAUCUUUCUUUUAAUUGAAAAUAGUUAUAUUUAUAUUGCAUAGUUAUAUUUUUGUUUUUGCACAAGUGACGUAUUGGAUCAUUUUCUCAUAAUGUACAAUUUGGAUAGUUUGUAAUGUUAUAAGAUAUUUAAUCAAAGGUUAUUUCUU